rnacentral:lncRNA from 13 species
AGUUGAUCUUAGGAAACCCAGCCACCAUAUUGUAGGCAGUUCUGUGAAAAGGCACAUGCGAAUGAUCUUGGAAGUAGAGCUUUUUAGGCUUGCCAACAGCUGUGUGACUGAGCUCAAAAGUGGAUACUUCAGAGGAGACUCUAGCCCUGGCUGACAGCAGAACUGCAACCCCAUGAGUGAUUCUGAGCCAGAACCAUCUGGCUAAGUAACUCCCAGAGUCCUGAGCCACAGAAACUAUUUGAGAAUUACUCCAUGAAACAGGCAAAAUAGGCAAGACUGUAUCUCUCAGACCAUUUUCUAAUGAGGGAGGAAACCCCAAGCCUUGGCAGCUUUCACGUGGUGUUGAGCCUGCGGGUGCAUAGAAGUCAAGAAGUGACAUUUGAAAACCUCCGCCUACAUUUCAGAAGAUGUAUGGAAACACCUAGAUGCCCAGGCAGGAGUUUGCUGCAGGGGCACAGAGUCCUCAUAGAGAACCUCCAAUAGGGUAGUGCAGAAAAGAAAUGUGGGGUCAGAGUCCCCACACAGAGUCCCUACUGGGAUAUUGCCUAGUGGAGCUGUGAGAAGAGGGCCACUGUCCUUCAGACACCAGAAUGGUAGAUCUACUGACAGCUUGCACUGUGCACCUGGAAAAGCCACAGACACUCAACAACAGCCCGUGAAAGCCAUUGGGAGGUAGGCUGUACCCUGCAAAGUUACAAGAGUGGAGCUGCCCAAGUCCAUGGGAACCGACCACUAGCAUCAACAUGACCUAGAUGUGAGAAUGGAGUCAAAGAAGACCAUUUUGGAGCUUUAAGAUUUGAUUGCCCUGCUGGAUUUUGGACUUGCAUGGGGCCUAUAGUCCCUUCAGUUUUGCCAAUUUCUCCCAUUUGGAAUGGCUGUAUUUAGCCAUCAACUGUGCCCCAAUGGUAUCUAGGAAGUUACUAACUUGCUUUUGGCUUUACAGGCUCAUAGGCAGAGGGGCCUUGCCUUAUCUCAGAUGAGACAUUGGAUUGUGGACUUCUGAGUUAGUGCUGAAAUGAAUUAAGACUUUGGGGGAUUGUUGGGAAAGCAUGACUGGUUUUGAAAUGUGAGGACAUGAAAUUUGGGAGGCAUGAGGGGCAGAAUGAUAUGGUUUGGCUGUGUCCUCACACAAAUCUCAUCUUGAAUUCACACAUGUUAUGGGAGGGACCCAGUGGGAGGUAAUUGAAUUAUGGGGGCAGGUCUUUCUCAUGCUGUCCUCAUGAUAGUUAAUAAGUUUCACAAGAUAUGAUGGUUUUAUAAAGAGGAGUCUCCCUACACAAACUCUCUCUUUGUCUGCUACCAUCCAUGUAAGACAUGACUUGCUCCUCCUUGCCUUCUGCCAUGAUUAUGAGGCUUCCCCAGCCAAAUGGAACUGUAAGUCUAUUAAACCCCUUUCUUCUGUAAAUUGCCCAGUCUCAGGUACGUCUUUAUCAGCA